rnacentral:rRNA from 1 species
GACGAACGCUGGCGGCGUGCUUAACACAUGCAAGUCGAGCGGUAAGGCCCUUUCGGGGGUACACGAGCGGCGAACGGGUGAGUAACACGUGGGUGACCUGCCCUUAGCUCUGGGAUAAGCCUGGGAAACUGGGUCUAAUACCGGAUAUGACUCCAUGAUGCAUGUUGUGGGGUGGAAAGCCUUGCGCGGCUAGGGAUGGGCCCGCGGCCUAUCAGCUUGUUGGUGGGGUGAUGGCCUACCAAGGCGACGACGGGUAGCCGGCCUGAGAGGGCGACCGGCCACACUGGGACUGAGACACGGCCCAGACUCCUACGGGAGGCAGCAGUGGGGAAUCUUGCGCAAUGGGCGAAAGCCUGACGCAGCGACGCCGCGU